UGGUUUAAUUGUUUGUGUGUGCGUGUUGUAACUUUUCUAUUUCAAUCAUAGCGUCUUCGGACCUUGGGAGGAAGAGUUGGGCCUGGCUCCUUUUCAGGCACGGGUGGAGGUGGGGCUGAGGAGGAGGGGCGGGGCCUGCCUACCUCUCAGGCAUGGGUGGAGGCAGGGCUGCGGAGGGGGGCGGGGCCUGGCUACUUCUCAGGCAUGGGUGGAGGUGGGGCUGGGGAGGAGCUUGAAUGGAGGCGGGGCUUGUGGGUGGGUGGGGCCUAUCUGCAUCUCAGGCUUGGAUGGAGGCGGGGCUGCCAACCUCUCAGGCAUGGGUGGGCGGGGCCUAUAUAUGUCUCAGGCUUGGGUAGAGGGAGCGAGGGGGGCCUAUCUACAUCUCAUGCUGGGGUGGAGGCAGGGUUUGGGAGAGGCGGAGACUACUUCUCAAGCAUGGGUGGAGGUCGGGCUAGGGGAGGAGCUUGAGUGGGGGCGGGGCUGGGUUGAGGGGGCAGGGCCUAUCGCCAUCUCAGUCUUAGAUGGAGGAGGAGCUGGGGGAAGAGCUUCAAUGGAGGCGGGGCCUAUCUCCAUCUCGGGGCCCCCAGCAUGUAGGCAGCAGAGCCCAGGUGAGCGGUGAACGCUAAGCCUGCAGCCCAGGUGGAAGCAGCAGACCACCGCCGGCUUCUGCCCCGCCCAGGGGUCACCAUCAGGAGCGGCGAGGUGAAGGGUACAUCCGAGAUCCUGGACCUCAGGACAGCUGAGCUGGGGGCGGGAAGGAGACAGCCUGCAGGUUCCACGUGGAGGCCGGAGGUUUAGAGCAGGAAGCUGGAGUCCAGAGCCAGAGUUGGGACUUGAACCCAGGGCCCUCCAAUGUGGGAUGCGGGCAUCGUAACCGAUUGGCCAGACGCCCACGUCAUGUUUAAUAAGACCAGGUAGAGAGGAGCUUCAGACCUCCCAACACGAC
rnacentral:lncRNA from 1 species